CCUACGGGCGGCUGCAGUGGGGAAUAUUGCGCAAUGGGCGAAAGCCUGACGCAGCGACGCCGCGUGGGUGAUGAAGGCCUUCGGGUUGUAAAGCCCUGUCGGGUGGAACGAACGAUCUGGCGGCGAAUAACCGCCGGGUGUGAUGGUACCACCGAAGGAAGCGCCGGCUAACUACGUGCCAGCAGCCGCGGUAAGACGUAGGGGGCGAGCGUUGUUCGGAUUUACUGGGCGUAAAGCGCGCGUAGGCGGCCCACGGCUGAACCGAGGUCCGGCAUCCGAUACUGUCUAGCUCGAGUCUAGGAGAGGAGAGCGGAAUUCCCGGUGUAGCGGUGAAAUGCGUAGAUAUUGGGAGGAACACCGGUGGCGAAGGCGGCUUUCCGGACUAGUACUGACGCUGAGGCGCGAAAGCUAGGGGAGCGAACGGGAUUAGAUACCCGAGUAGUC
rnacentral:rRNA from 1 species